GAACGCGAAGAACCUUACCCGGGCUUGAACUAGGAGUGACAGAUUUAGAGAUAGAUCUUUCUUCGGACACUCUUGGAGGUGCUGCAUGGUUGUCGUCAGCUCGUGCCGUGAGGUGUCGGCUUAAGUGCCAUAACGAGCGCAACCCUUUUCCUUGGUUGCCAUCAGGUAAUGCUGGGCACUCCAGGGAUACUGCCAUCGUAAGAUGUGAGGAAGGUGGGGAUGACGUCAAAUCAGCACGGCCUUACGUCCGGGGCUACACACGUGUUACAAUGGGGGGUACAGAAGGUCGCUACCUGGUGACAGGAUGCUAAUCUUUAAAACCUCUCUCAGUUCGGAUCGGAGUCUGCAACCCGACUCCGUGAAGCUGGAUUCGCUAGUAAUCGCGCAUCAGCCAUGGCGCGGUGAAUACGUUCCCGGGUCUUGUACACACC
rnacentral:rRNA from 1 species